rnacentral:rRNA from 7 species
GGGUUGUGAGGUUAAGCGACUAAGCGUACACGGUGGAUGCCCUGGCAGUCAGAGGCGAUGAAGGGCGUGCUAAUCUGCGAUAAGCGCCGGUAAGGUGAUAUGAACCGUUAUAACCGGCGAUACCCGAAUGGGGAAACCCAGUGUGACUCGUCACACUAUCAUUAACUGAAUCCAUAGGUUAAUGAGGCGAACCGGGGGAACUGAAACAUCUAAGUACCCCGAGGAAAAGAAAUCAACCGAGAUUCCCCCAGUAGCGGCGAGCGAACGGGGAGGAGCCCAGAGCCUGAAUCAGCAUGUGUGUUAGUGGAAGCGUCUGGAAAGGCGCGCGAUACAGGGUGACAGCCCCGUACACAAAAGCGCAUGUGCUGUGAGCUCGAUGAGUAGGGCGGGACACGUGGUAUCCUGUCUGAAUAUGGGGGGACCAUCCUCCAAGGCUAAAUACUCCUGACUGACCGAUAGUGAACCAGUACCGUGAGGGAAAGGCGAAAAGAACCCCGGCGAGGGGAGUGAAAAAGAACCUGAAACCGUGUACGUACAAGCAGUGGGAG